rnacentral:rRNA from 1 species
CCUACGGGAGGCAGCAGUGAGGAAUAUUGGUCAAUGGGCUUACGCCUGAACCAGCCAAGUCGCGUGAGGGAAGACGGUCCUAUGGAUUGUAAACCUCUUUUGUCGGGGAACAAGGGCGUCCACGUGUGGACUGAUGAGUGUCCCCGAAGAAAAAGCAUCGGCUAACGCCGUUCCAGCAGCCGCGGUCAUACUGAGGAUGCGAGGGUUAUCCGGCUUUAUUGGGUUUAAAGGGUGCGUAGGCGGACAGUCAAGUCAGCGGUAAACAUGCGGUGCUCAACGCCGUACAGCCGUUGAAACUGGCAGUCUUGAGUGGGCGAGAAGUAUGCGGAAUGCGUGGUGUAGCGGUGAAAUGCAUAGAUAUCACGCAGAACUCCGAUUGCGAAGGCAGCAUACCGGCGCCCUACUGACGCUGAGGCACGAAAGCGUGGGUAUCGAACAGGAUUAGAUACCCUUGUAGUC